UUAACUCAUAUUUGUAUGGAGUUGGAACAGCGACCCUAGCGGCAAACGUGGGCAAACGUUCCAACUCCAUACAAAUUUGAGUUA
rnacentral:pre_miRNA from 1 species